UCCCUGGUGGCUCAGAGGUUAAAGCAUCUGCCUUCCAAUGGCGGGAAACCCGGGUUCAAUCCCUGGGUCCGGGAA
rfam:Ovis aries breed Texel chromosome 15, whole genome shotgun sequence.